rnacentral:tRNA from 1 species
GCUGGGGGUGCAGCUCAAUGGUAGAGUACUUGCCUAGCAUGCGUGAGGUCCUGGUUCAAUUCCAGGACUGGAGCA